rnacentral:rRNA from 1 species
CCUACGGGAUGCAGCAGUGGGGAAUAUUGCACAAUGGGGGGAACCCUGAUGCAGCGACGCCGCGUGGGUGAAGGAGUGCUUCGGCAUGUAAAGCCCUAUCGGCAGGGAAGAAGCAAGACGGUACCUGACUAAGAAGCCCCGGCUAACUACGUGCCAGCAGCCGCGGUAAUACGUAGGGGGCGCGCGUUCUCCGGAUUCACUGGGUGUAAAGGGAGCGUAGACGGGAAAGCAGGCCGGGGGGGAAAGCCCGGGGCCCAACCCAGGGAGUGCCUUUGAAAAUGGCUGGCUUGAGUGCGGGAGGGGCAGGCGGAAUUCCUGGUGGAGCGGUGAAAUGCGUAGAUAUCAGGAGGAACACCGGCGGCGAAGGCGGCCUGCUGGACCGCGACUGACGUUGAGGCUCGAAAGCGUGGGGAGCGAACAGGAUUAGAUACCCCUGUAGUC